ACUUGUAUGCUUAGUAUUUCUUAGUAUUUCGCCACUGACUGUGCAACAAAAUAAACUUUAAUUAGAUAAUCAUGAUUUUUAAAAUCAUAGCGGUAUUAUAAGAACAUUUUCCAAUCAAAUUAAUUAGCAGGGAAUGCUUAUUCCUCCAAGGCACCUGAUCCCACCUCUAUCUUUUAAGAGGUUCGUGUUUGAUUUGCUUUGAAUUUUUAUAUGGAUUUUUGAGACUUUUAACAGUUUGUUAUUGUCAUUUUUCAUUUUUUUUUAAUUAACAUAUAACUUUUUCUGGUAGAGACCUUUGUACGGAUUUUGUAGUUAUUUUGUAAUUCUGGUCAAAAUUGAAAUACGAUCAUUAAAAAGUUUAUUUCUGAAUAAAUCGAAGUU
rnacentral:sRNA from 1 species